rnacentral:lncRNA from 1 species
AGGUCGCCGAGGAGGAGAUGCUGUGGCUGCGGCGGCGCCGACGGAGCACGAGGACACCGGGGGAGUUGGCCGGAGCACGACGGCACUGGGGAAGGUCAGGAAAGGGUGGUUUGAGCCCUCCUCUAUGCUCAGGCUCCAAGAACAAGGAGAGAAUGAGAGAGAGGAGAGAAAAAUGAGAGAGAAAGAGAGAGAGAGAGAGAGAGAGAGAAAGAGAGAGUUGGAGAAGGGUUCGCGGUCACCGGCAGCGGUCUUCGGUAGGGUGGCAGCGCGUGGUGCAGUGGUGGGGAGGUAAAAUGGGUGGCUGUGGUGGAGGUGGAGCAAAGAGGCUGGGGUUUAGAGAAGGGAAGGAGAAGAA